AAGAGGCCUUUCCAUUAGUGAAGUUCAUUUUUGUGUGACCUCUCUACAGACCUAUAAUCUCCUUUAAUCUGUUACCCCAGUGUGACUGGUCAAUAGGGGCCUGUCAAAAUACCUCUGCUCUCUUUCCCUUUCUUCUAUUCCUCAGCCUAUUUCUCUUGCAAAAUAAAAGGGAUUUUAAAACUGAAAUUCAUUAUUUAAAUUUCAUGUGUUGAAAUUUAAGAUUUCAAAAUGAAACUAUGUACAGUCUUAAAAUUUAGUACUCAAAACGCAUUCAAUUUAAUUGCCAAAUAAUAAUGUCCCAAAAAGUGUGAAAGAAUUAUUUUUCAUGCAUAUAAAUGUCUGUAGUCAGUAUUUCAGAGAACCAUAGAAUCACUUGGGUUGGAAGGAACUUUAAAGACUGCCUAGUUCCACACCCUUUGCCACGUCAGGGACAACUUCCUCUAGACCACCUGUCUCAAAGCCCCACCCAUCCUGGCCUUGAACACUUCUAGGGAUGCAGGAAUCACAGCUUCUCUGGGCAGCCUGAUCCAGCGCAUCACCACCCUCACAGUGAAGAAUUUCUUUAUAAAAAUAUGUAUUCUAAACCUACCACCUCUUAGUUUAAGGCCAUUUUCCCUUGACCCAUCACUAAAUGGCCUUGUCAAAAGUCCCUCUCCAGCUCUCUUGGAGCCCUCUUUAGGAACUGGAAGGCUGCUAUAAGGUGUCUCUGGAGCCUUAUCAUCUCCAGGAUAUUUAAAAUAAUCAAAGAAGCUGUUCAGCACCAAGAUUCUCCUCACUUGUAUUCCCUUUGAACAAAAUUUUAUCAACAUGCAUUCUGUACUGCCAUUUUUUUUAUGAUAGAGACAGGCAAAGGAAUGGCUAACAAAGGGGUACAAGGAAGGAUUUGCCCACAGCCACUGAAAGUUUUACUCCUGGGACAGGCAGUCACCACACUGCGAUUAAACUAAGCUGUCAUGAUCCUCUACAGGCAGAUAGAAACAGCCUCACAUUUACAAGCCCUGGCUUUUGUGGCCUCAGACACCCUGACAUCUUCUGAAGGCACAGCACAGAGGAAUUUAAGUAAUUCAGGGGGUUCCUGGAGUACACUGAUGAUAACUUCCCCUUCUGAGAGAUGGAAGAGUCAAUGAGAAAAGGUGCUGUGCUGGACCUCAUGUUCACAAUGAGUGAGUGCUUGUUGGAGAUGUGAACGUCAAAGGCAGAUGUGGCUGCAGCAACCAUGAGAUGGUGGUAGAAUUCAGGGCAGAGGGGAGAGUGAAAAGCUGGCACAUACUGCUGGACAGGGGGAACGAGGAAUACAGCAUCAGACUGUUCUCAGUAGUGCCCUCUAACAGGACCAGAGCCAAAGGGCAAAAAGUGAAACACAGGAAGCUCCUCCUGAACAUCAGGAAGCACUUUUUCCUGUAAAGGUGACUAAGCACUGGUAGAGAUUGCCCAGGAAUGUCAUGGAGUCUCCAUACUUGGAGAUGUACAAAACCCACCAUAUUGUCCUGCAUUUAGGUUGUCCUGCAUGAGCAGGGGUAGCGGACUUGUUGGACCUGUACAUCAGAUGACGUACCGACCUCUUCCCUUCUGAUACAAGAAAGGGAUACCUUCUGAUACCUGCAACAUCUUCAACAGGCUUUGGUAGUACCUGUUUGGACAAAUGGUUUGUGAAUAGUCCUCAUACAUGAGUGAAUAAAAAUGUACUCGGGAGUAGAGUGUAUGCAUACACCCAUCACAGCUCUUAUGUGCUUUGUCCUUAUUUAGGAAAGAGAUUGAAGAGAAAAAAAGUUUGAAGAAAAUUAUCUCUGUAAUUAUAUGGUCUAUGUGGCAGUUUUUCCUCUCAGCUGGAAUUCUAGGAUUCAAAUUAUAUUCAGUAGGAAGCCUUCACUGUUUUUUACUGGCACUGAAAAAGUGCUUGAGAAAAAUAUGUGUCUAUUGAAUCACAGUUCUUGAAUUUUAUUCAUUUUAGUAAGUGGUUUUAAGUAAUUUUUUGAAUUCUCAUUUUAAGAUUUUUUAUUUACAUACCACUUUCUGAUGUAAUUUUUACUUUGAAAUGACAAAUCUUCAAAACGCAGUCAGCUGUAAGCAGAAUUUUUAAUUCUUCUUUCGUAUCACAA